CUAAGCGUGAAGCCCCCCUCAAGAUAAGAUAUCCCAGAUCGUAAGAUCAUAAGACCCCUUGAAGACGACGAGGUAGAUAGGUCUGAGGUGUAAGCAUGGCAACAUGUUAAGCUGACAGAUACUAAUAGGUCGAAGGCUUGACCUUA
rnacentral:rRNA from 1 species